rnacentral:rRNA from 1 species
UACAGAGGGGGCAAGCGUUAUUCGGAAUUAUUGGGCGUAAAGGGCGCGUAGGCGGCCUGACAAGUGGAAGGUGAAAUCCCUCGGCUUAACCGAGGAACUGCCUUCCAAACUGUUUGGCUUGAGUCCGGGAGAGGCGAGUGGAAUUCCCAGUGUAGCGGUGAAAUGCGUAGAUAUUGGGAGGAACACCGGUGGCGAAGGCGGUUCUCUGGGCCUUACCUGACGCUGAGGAGCGAAAGCGUGGGGAGCGAACAGG